rnacentral:rRNA from 1 species
GACGUAGGGGGCGAGCGUUGUCCGGAUUUACUGGGCGUAAAGCGCGCGUAGGCGGCUCGUUAAGUCGGUGGUGAAAUCCCGGGGCUCAACCCCGUGGACUGCCUCCGAUACUGGCGGGCUUGAGGAAGGUAGGGGAGAGUGGAAUUCCUGGUGUAGCGGUGAAAUGCGCAGAUACCAGGAGGAACACCGGUGGCGAAGGCGGCUCUCUGGGCCUGUCCUGACGCUGAGGCGCGAAAGCUAGGGGAGCAAACAGG